rnacentral:tmRNA from 1 species
GGGGGCGUAAAGGUUUCGACAGGGAUUUUGAAACAGGUUAAGCGAGUAGCGGUGCGGGACCGCUAUAAAAUCCGCAAAUCAAUAAAUUAGCUCACAAAACAACAGCUAAAUUGGCUGCCUAAGGGCAACCCGUCCGUUUGAGAAGUACCGCGGUCUCAACACGGGCGUCGAACAGCGGUAAAUGUGAACACGCAAGCGCCUUGUAGCGUGUCAUAACCUUUAAGGCUACCGAGCACAGAAGCUUGAUGCUUGGUUUCGUGUAAGGGAAACUUUUUUAAGUAUCUGCACUCGGAGAAAGACCUGCGAAUAAGUUUUUGGACAGGGGUUCAAUUCCCCUCGCCUCCACCA